AUUAACGGGGCAUCCCUCCGGCAGGGGCUGGCUCUCUGCAUUCUGAGAUGCGGGCAGCCGCCGAGCACCGCGAGCUUUUCCAGAGGCGAGCAGAUGCUGGAAGUCAGCUUGUGCGCAGCGCGCCGGCCUGAGGCGGCGCCGCGACGAGCCAGGAGACUGGGCAUCAGGCUCCUGCCGCCUUCGCCCCUUCUCUCCUCCGCCUGACCGCCAGCCCGAAGAGCCGAAAGCGACACGGCAGGGCAUCGCUUGCUAGGGACCUUCCAGGCCCAGGGACUUCGGAAGCAUCCGAAGAGAUUCGGGUUCCCCAGCUGGAGGCCUGAGGACAGAGCCAGCCCCUGUAACUAGCCACAAUAACGCCCGUGAUGGUGAUUACUAAUUACCAGCUGUGUAACCAGGCUUCAUUUUCUGUGUUCAGAGUCAGACUUCCUUCCGGGUCAUGCUCCCCACCCCCUUAUUUCCAGCCCCGACCUCACCCCACUAACCAGCCCCUCUUACCCACAGCAACAGCUAGCACUCCUUUCCUGCGGUGACAGCUUCUGGGGGUGGGAGGGCAGCGGGCAGGUGGGCGCUCCUGCUCUGGGAAGCCCGUGACCAAAGCUUCCUCCUAGCCCCCCA
ensembl:lncRNA